rnacentral:tRNA from 2 species
AGUUAAUGAGCUUGAAAUAAGCAUAUAUUUUGAAAAUAUAAGAUAGAUUUUAAUAAUCUAUUAACUU